UGAGCUCAAAUCAGGUAGGACUACCCGCUGAACUUAAGCAUAUCAAUAAGCGGAGGAAAAGAAACUAACAAGGAUUCCCCUAGUAACUGCGAGUGAAGCGGGAAAAGCUCAAAUUUAAAAUCUGGCGGCUUUGGUCGUCCGAGUUGUAUCCUAGAGAAGUGUUUUCCGCGUUGGACCGUGUAUAAGUCUCUUGGAACAGAGCGUCAUAGAGGGUGAGAAUCCCGUCUUUGACACGGACUACCAAUGCUUUGCGAUACACUCUCAAAGAGUCGAGUUGUUUGGGAAUGCAGCUCAAAAUGGGUGGUAAAUUCCAUCUAAAGCUAAAUAUUGGCGAGAGACCGAUAGCGAACAAGUACCGUGAGGGAAAGAUGAAAAGCACUUUGGAAAGAGAGUUAAACAGUACGUGAAAUUGCUGAAAGGGAAACGAUUGAAGUCAGUCGCGUUAGCUAGAACUCAACCAGGCUUGCUUGGCGUAUUUUCUAGUUAACGGGCCAGCAUCAGUUUUGACCGCAGGAAAAAGGCCAGAGAAAUGUGGCACCCUCGGGUGUGUUAUAGUCUUUGGUCAUAUACUGCGAUUGGGACUGAGGUUCGCAGCACGCGCAAGCUGUGCUUAGGAUGCCGGCGUAAUGGCUUUAAACGACCCGUCUUGAAACACGGACCAA
rnacentral:rRNA from 1 species